ACCGGUUGAGAGUCGCAGUCAUUAAAUGGAAACAGAAAGGGUAUGAUCGUAACAUCGACGAGGCGCCAUGUUUUUAGCUCCCUGCCCUGCUGGAAAAAAAAAGCUGUAAACAAGUGUUUCUUAAAAAUAAAAAAAAGGAAAAUUGUCUGAGAAACGGCACUGAAGAAAGCUUUAAGCAAAGGACCUUUUCUCGUCUUCUUUAAUGGCAGAUCUCUCAUUUUACUGACUUGCAUUAUGAGUUUACGGUCUCGUUUUUUAGUUUGCAGUUGAAUAAGUGAUCGGAGAUGCUGGACGGGAUCUUUGGCCGUGGUUUUGCCUCCAAAUGCAAAUCAUUGAUAAAACUGAUAAAGAGUCGGAUCGAGGUGAUAAGGAGGAAGAAGACUGCGACGCUCAAGUUUUUGAAGAAAGAUGUAGCCGAUCUGCUCGCUAAUGGCCUCGAUAUUAAUGCUUAUGGCAGGGUGGAAGGAUAUAUUGCUGAAUUGGA